rnacentral:rRNA from 1 species
GGAUAUUGGACAAUGGGCGAAAGCCUGAUCCAGCCAUGCCGCGUGUGUGAAGAAGGUCUUCGGAUUGGAAAGCACUUUAAGUUGGGAGGAAGGGCAGUAAGCGACUACCUUGCUGUUUUGACGUUACCGACAGAAUAAGCACCGGCUAACUCUGUGCCAGCCGCCGCGGUAAUACAGCGGGUGCAAGCGUUAAUCGGAAUUCCUGGGCGUAAAGGGCGCGUAGGUGGUUCGUUAAGUUGGAUGUGGAAUCCCCGGGGUCAACCUGGGAACUGCAUUCAAAACUGGCGAGCUAGAGUAGGGCAGAGGGUGGUGGAAUUUCCUGUGUAGCGGUGAAAUGCGUAGAUAUAGGAAGGAACACCAGUGGCGAAGGCGACCACCUGGGCUCAUACUGACACUGAGGUGCGAAAGCGUGGGGAGCAAACA